UACGGGGGGGGCAAGCGUUGUUCGGAAUUACUGGGCGUAAAGGGCGCGUAGGCGGCCUGCUAAGUCGGACGUGAAAUCCCUCAGCUUAACUGGGGAACUGCGUGUGAUACUGGAUGGCUUGGAUUUGGGAGAGGGAUGCGGAAUUCCAGGUGUAGCGGUGAAAUGCGUAGAUAUCUGGAGGAACACCGGUGGCGAAGGCGGCAUCCUGGACCAAUAUUGACGCUGAGGAGCGAAAGCUAGGGGAGCAAACGGG
rnacentral:rRNA from 1 species